UACGUAGGUGGCAAGCGUUGUCCGGAUUUACUGGGCGUAAAGAGCGCGCAGGCGGUCGUUCAAGUCGCGUGUGAAAUCCCCCGGCUCAACUGGGGAGGGUCACGCGAUACUGAUCGACUCGAAGGCAGGAGAGGGUAGUGGAAUUCCCGGUGUAGUGGUGAAAUGCGUAGAUAUCUGGAGGAAUACCGGUGGCGAAGGCGGCAUCCUGGACCAUUACUGACGCUGAGGCGCGAAAGCAUGGGGAGCGAACAGG
rnacentral:rRNA from 1 species